rnacentral:rRNA from 1 species
UGGGGAAUAUUGCACAAUGGGCGCAAGCCUGAUGCAGCCAUGCCGCGUGUGCGAAGAAGGCCUUCGGGUUGUAAAGCACUUUCAGCGAGGAGGAAGGCAUAAAGGUUAAUAACCUUUGUGAUUGACGUUACUCGCAGAAGAAGCACCGGCUAACUCCGUGCCAGCAGCCGCGGUAAUACGGAGGGUGCACGCGUUAAUCGGAAUUACUGGGCGUAAAGCGCACGCAGGCGGUUUGUUAAGUCAGAUGUGAAAUCCCCGCGCUUAACGUGGGAACUGCAUUUGAAACUGGCAAGCUAGAGUCUUGUAGAGGGGGGUAGAAUUCCAGGUGUAGCGGUGAAAUGCGUAGAGAUCUGGAGGAAUACCGGUGGCGAAGGCGGCCCCCUGGACAAAGACUGACGCUCAGGUGCGAAAGCGUGGGGAGCAAACA